rnacentral:rRNA from 1 species
AAAUUGAAGAGUUUGAUCAUGGCUCAGAUUGAACGCUGGCGGCAGGCCUAACACAUGCAAGUCGAACGGUAACAGGAAACAGCUUGCUGUUUCGCUGACGAGUGGCGGACGGGUGAGUAAUGUCUGGGAAACUGCCUGAUGGAGGGGGAUAACUACUGGAAACGGUAGCUAAUACCGCAUAACGUCGCAAGACCAAAGAGGGGGACCUUCGGGCCUCUUGCCAUCGGAUGUGCCCAGAUGGGAUUAGCUAGUAGGUGGGGUAACGGCUCACCUAGGCGACGAUCCCUAGCUGGUCUGAGAGGAUGACCAGCCACACUGGAACUGAGAUACGGUCCAGACUCCUACGGGAGGCAGCAGUGGGGAAUAUUGCACAAUGGGCGCAAGCCUGAUGCAGCCAUGCCGCGUGUAUGAAGAAGGCCUUCGGGUUGUAAAGUACUUUCAGCGGGGA